rnacentral:rRNA from 1 species
GUCGAACGCUGGCGGCGUGCCUAAUACAUGCAAGUCGAGCGAGACUCUUCGGAGUCUAGCGGCGGACGGGUGAGUAACCCGUGGGCAACCUGCCUGUAAGACUGGGAUAACACCGGGAAACCGGUGCUAAUACCGGAUAAUCCUUUUCCUCCCAUGAGGAAAAGCUGAAAGUCGGUUUCGGCUGACACUUACAGAUGGGCCCGCGGCGCAUUAGCUAGUUGGUGAGGUAAUGGCUCACCAAGGCGACGAUGCGUAGCCGACCUGAGAGGGUGAUCGGCCACACUGGGACUGAGACACGGCCCAGACUCCUACGGGAGGCAGCAGUAGGGAAUCUUCCACAGUGGACGAAAGUCUGAUGGAGCAACGCCGCGUGAGCGAUGAAGGCCUUCGGGUCGUAAAGCUCUGUUGUUAGGGAAGAACAAGUACCGGAGUAACUGCCGGUACCUUGACGGUACCUAACCAGAAAGCCACGGCUAACUACGUGCCAGCCGCCGCAGUAAGAC